rnacentral:rRNA from 1 species
AUGGACGAUGCAGGUUCAGAGUCAACGGCUGUGCCCCUCGAUUUAUUACUACAAAUCACAGAUGGUUUUUCCGAGGAGCGGAAACUUGGUAGUGGUUCGUUUGGAGAGGUUUACUUGGGUGUGCAUCCAGACGGGCAAAAGAUUGCUGUGAAGAAGAUCUAUGAUAUGCCCGGGGUUGACGAGGAGCAAUUUCAUAAUGAGUUUAAGAACCUUGCAAGGCUGCAGCACCGAAAUAUUGUGCGGUUAGUUGGCUAUUGCCACCAUAUUCAGGAAGUACCAGCAAUGUACGAAGGAAAAUUGGUUCUUGCGGAAAAGAUACAUAGGGCGCUCUGCUUGGAGUAUAUGUCUAAUGGAAGCCUUGAAAAAUAUAUUUCUGAUGAAUGUGAUAAAUAUGAUUGGCACACAGGCUACGGAAUAAUUAAGGGGAUUUGCCAGGGUUUGAAAUACCUCCACACUAAAUUAGAGCCACCUAUUUAUCAUUUGGAUUUAAAGCCAGCCAACAUAUUGCUGGAUGAGAACAUGGUUCCCAGAAUUGCAGAUUUUGGGAUAUCUAGGCUGUUUGGAGAUGAACGAACGCGAGCUACAAAAAGUACUUUAGGAACACAAGGGUACUUACCGCCGGAAUACAUACGCAACUAUUUAAUCUCAAGUAAAUUUGACAUAUUCAGCCUGGGUGUCGUAAUCAUAAAGAUAAUGGCAGGACGGGCGGGCUACUACAAAAGCGCUGAAAUGUCUUCCCACGAAUUCACUAAUUUGGUACAGGAAAAUUGGACAAAUAGACCACAUGAAACAUCGAGUCUGAUGAAGGCAUAUUCCAAGCAAGUAAAGAUAUGUAUUGAAAUAGGUUUAAGUUGUGUGCAGGAGGAUCGACACAAAAGGCCAACUGUAAAGAAUAUUGUUGAUAGACUGAAUGAGACAGAAACUGAGUGUACCUAUGCGUAUAAGAAAUUUGACGCCCUUCCAAACAAGCUAGAAUGGCAUGGCAAUAUCCUACAGACAUGA